UACGUAGGGGGCAAGCGUUGUCCGGAAUCAUUGGGCGUAAAGCGCGUGUAGGCGGCUUGGUAAGUCCGCUCUGAAAGCCCGGGGCUCAACCCCGGGAGGCGGGUGGAUACUGUCAAGCUAGAGUCCGGAAGAGGCGAGUGGAAUUCCUGGUGUAGCGGUGAAAUGCGCAGAUAUCAGGAGGAACACCAAUGGCGAAGGCAGCUCGCUGGGACGUGACUGACGCUGAGACGCGAAAGCGUGGGGAGCAAACAGG
rnacentral:rRNA from 1 species